rnacentral:rRNA from 1 species
UUUAUACAACGAAGAGCUUGAUCCUGGCUCAGGAUGAACGCUAGCGGCAGGCCUAACACAUGCAAGUCGAACGGUAACAUGAGAGCUUGCUCUUGAUGACGAGUGGCGCACGGGUGCGUAACGCGUAUGCAAUCU